rnacentral:tRNA from 1 species
GUUAAUAUAACUUAAAUGGUAAAGUGAUGGACUUUUAAUCCAUUAAUUCGAGUUCAAUUCUCGAUAUUGACA